UACGUAGGGUGCAAGCGUUAAUCGGAAUUACUGGGCGUAAAGCGUGCGCAGGCGGCUUUGCAAGUCAGAUGUGAAAUCCCGGGGCUCAACCCCGGAACUGCAUCCGAUACUGCCGUGCUUGAGGAUUGGAGAGGUAGCUGGAAUUCUUGGUGUAGCAGUGAAAUGCGUGGAGAUCAAGAGGAACACUCGUGGCGAAAGCGAGCUACUGGACAAUUCCUGACGCUGAGGCUCGAAGGCUAGGGUAGCGAAAGGG
rnacentral:rRNA from 1 species